AGUGAACGCUGGCGGUAGGCCUAACACAUGCAAGUCGAACGGCAGCACAGUAAGAGCUUGCUCUUACGGGUGGCGAGUGGCGGACGGGUGAGGAAUACAUCGGAAUCUACUUUUUCGUGGGGGAUAACGUAGGGAAACUUACGCUAAUACCGCAUACGACCUACGGGUGAAAGCAGGGGAUCUUCGGACCUUGCGCGAUUGAAUGAGCCGAUGUCGGAUUAGCUAGAUGGCGGGGUAAAGGCCCACCAAGGCGACGAUCCGUAGCUGGUCUGAGAGGAUGAUCAGCCACACUGGAACUGAGACACGGUCCAGACUCCUGCGGGAGGCAGCAGUGGGGAAUAUUGGACAAUGGGCGCAAGCCUGAUCCAGCCAUACCGCGUGGGUGAAGAAGGCCUUCGGGUUGUAAAGCCCUUUUGUUGGGAAAGAAAAGCAGCAGGUUAAUACCCCGCUGUUCUGACGGUACCCAAAGAAUAAGCACCGGCUAACUUCGUG
rnacentral:rRNA from 1 species